rnacentral:lncRNA from 1 species
UGAGGAUGUUUUUGAUCUAAUGUUUCUGAAGGCUUGCUGAGAUUAUUGAGCAGGCUGGUCAUAGAAAAUUCGAUUACCCCAAUGUCUUGUCCUUUCUUCUUGUUGUCUUCAACAGACUCGUGACUGGAGGACGAUGUAUGGGUUGGUUUCUUAUUUGGGUAGACUUGAAAUUCUGAUUCCAUUUGACGCCGAGGCUUUGAACGAGUCGUCUUGGGAUGAUAGCUGUUUGAAGUCGAGCCAUAGUGAGAUGUAAAGAAUUCACCAGAGGACAGAAAGCCCGGUAAUGGAGAUCUAGUCUUUUGGGUCUGAUGGCCAAAGAGGAAUCCAGGAGAGUAGGAUCCUUGAUACAUCGGCAUCCCUGGCGAUGUGCUUCCAAGGGGAUCAAAGUAUGUAUUAGCUUGCUGCUGAU